rnacentral:tRNA from 1 species
GGGCCUGUGGGCUAGCUUGGCCUAUACUUGUAGCUUUGGGAGCUAUAGACCCCGGUUCAAAUCGAAGAUGGUAUG